rnacentral:rRNA from 1 species
GAUGAACGCUGGCGGCGUGCCUAAUACAUGCAAGUCGAGCGAACAGACGAGGAGCUUGCUCCUCUGACGUUAGCGGCGGACGGGUGAGUAACACGUGGAUAACCUACCUAUAAGACUGGGAUAACUUCGGGAAACCGGAGCUAAUACCGGAUAAUAUAUUGAACCGCAUGGUUCAAUAGUGAAAGACGGUUUUGCUGUCACUUAUAGAUGGAUCCGCGCCGCAUUAGCUAGUUGGUAAGGUAACGGCUUACCAAGGCAACGAUGCGUAGCCGACCUGAGAGGGUGAUCGGCCACACUGGAACUGAGACACGGUCCAGACUCCUACGGGAGGCAGCAGUAGGGAAUCUUCCGCAAUGGGCGAAAGCCUGACGGAGCAACGCCGCGUGAAUGAUGAAGGUCUUCGGACCGUAAAACUCUGUUAUUAGGGAAGAACAAAUGUGUAAGUAACUAUGCACGUCUUGACGGUACCUAAUCAGAAAGCCACGGCUAACUACGUG